rnacentral:rRNA from 1 species
CCUACGGGAGGCUGCAGUGGGGAAUAUUGCGCAAUGGGCGAAAGCCUGACGCAGCGACGCCGCGUGAGGGAUGAAGGUCUUCGGAUCGGAAAACUCUGUCAGCAGGGAAGAACGGUCACUGUGCUAAUCAGCAGUGAAUUGACGGUACCUGCAAAGGAAGCACCGGCUAACUCCGUGCCAGCAGCCGCGGUAAUACGGAGGGUGCGAGCGUUAAUCGGAAUUAAUGGGCGUAAAGCGGUCGUAGGCGGUAUGUCAAGUCAAGGGUGAAAUCCCCGAGCUCAACGUGGGAACUGACUAUGAAACUGGCAAACUGGAGUGUGUGAGAGGAUAGUGGAAUUCCAGGUGUAGGAGUGAAAUCCGUAGAUAUCUGGAGGAACAUCAGUGGCGAAGGCGACUAUCUGGCACAUAACUGACGCUGAGGAGCGAAAGCGUGGGUAGCGAACAGGAUUAGAUACCCCAGUAGUC